rnacentral:rRNA from 1 species
UACAGAGGGGGCAAGCGUUAUUCGGAAUUAUUGGGCGUAAAGGGCGCGUAGGCGGCUUGGCAAGUGGAAGGUGAAAUCCCUCGGCUUAACCGAGGAACUGCCCUCCAAACUGCUCUGCUUGAGGCCGGGAGAGGUGAGUGGAAUUCCCAGUGUAGCGGUGAAAUGCGUAGAUAUUGGGAGGAACACCAGUGGCGAAGGCGACUACCUGGCCUGUUCUUGACGCUGAGGCGCGAAAGCUAGGGGAGCAAACGGG